CCACCACCCCAUCGCCACCGUGCCACCAUAGCCGGUGGCCCCAUCCUGCCAUCCCCAAAUCCUACAAAAUAUUAUACUUCCACCAAGAUUAAGCUCUCAAAACCUCAAGGGACCAACUCACACUGCCACAACUCACACAAAAUCCCAUAUGCUUAAGAAAAACCCAAACUAGAACCUAAAAAUCCCUUCACUCUCUCUACUGCUCUCCUUCCCUGACC
rnacentral:lncRNA from 1 species